GGCUCUGUAGCUCAACUGAAUAGAGCAUCUGACUACGGAUCAGAAGGUUUCAGGUUUGAAUCCUGACAGAGUCAC
rnacentral:tRNA from 1 species